rnacentral:rRNA from 1 species
GACAGGGGUCUCAAGCGUUAAUCGGAAUCACUGGGCUUAAAGGGUGCGUAGGCGGACCUGUAAGUGUCCUGUGAAAGCCCUCGGCUCAACCGAGGAAGUGCGCCCGAAACUGCAGAGCUUGAGUACCGGAGAGGAUGGCGGAAUUCCCCAAGUAGAGGUGAAAUUCGUAGAUAUGGGGAGGAACACCGGUGGCGAAGGCGGCCAUCUGGACGGAUACUGACGCUGAGACGCGAAAGCGUGGGUAGCAAACAGG